GAGGAUUUAGCUUAACUAAAGUGUCUGAUUUGCGUUCAGGAGAUGUGGGAUAGAUCUUGCAGUCCUUA
rnacentral:tRNA from 1 species